rnacentral:lncRNA from 1 species
CCAUUUCUCACCUUUUUCCCAAGAGGACACACAUACCCCGCUCAACUUGACGCCUAAAGCAGCCGCUUCCAGGCCUGGGGUUUCGGAUAGGCCAAGCCGGCUGCUGCCGACCCGCACGCCGCCCCGGGCCCCGGCUCCUCUCUAGGCGGUGGCCGCGCCGUCGCCUGCUCGGCUGCGGGAUGCUUGCUCCCAAGGUCCCAGGCGUCCAGGUUGAUCGCCAGCCCCUUACCCUGGUGAGGGAGGCCUUGCGCCCUGCAGAAGCCCCGGGCCCUGCGGCGGCGGCGGCGGCAUCCUCCUGGUCGCCUCCUCGCUUUCCUCCACCCGAGCUCCGCCGGCUGCUCCUUGGGAGGAAGGGGACUCGCUAGACCAGGCCGAGGCCCAGCCUCAGAAGUCAGCAUUUUCAAGACCUGGCAUCCGCAGCGUUUCUGACGCGGGGACUUCUCUCUUCGGCUCUGAGGUCUCCGCGCGCAGAACCCAUGGCAGCUUUUGGUCUUACGCGUGGCUGUGAGCUGGGCUCACGCUGCGUGGCGCAUCCACCCCUCGAUUGACGCGCGGAGAAGCAUUUUUCAUUUUUUCUUUCAGCUUCCCUGAUUUCAAACAAACAUCAGAUUUAAGAAGGUGAGGACUCCAAAGAAGAUCCAAACGCGAGACCAGGAAGAUUCACGUUUCCACUACUUCUUCCAAUACAUUUCACUAAUCUUUCUA